GGCAGGGAGGCCGUCCGUCCCUGCGUGGCCUCCUCCUUCCCCCUUCCCUGGGUCCUUGGGCGGAGGAGAGGGGGCCUGGCGUUCCUCCUCCCUGCGGCUGGGGCUGCCUCCCCCUGGCGGCCUCCUUCCCUGCGUGUAGCCCGUUAGGCGCGGUGGCCAAGUGUUCCUGUAGUACAAAACAUCCUGGUAUGUUGUUCAAGUUCAAGGCUGUACAUGUCUACUAAGAAGUAAGGGCCAUUGUAUUCAUUUGGGGUUGUUCAAGAAAGGAAGACUAGUGCACAUGUGUGGGAUUACUCUGCAAAACUGACAAGUCAUAACAGCUGGAUUCUGAUCUGCAGUCCUUAUUACCAUACUUUGGCCUCAUGCAUCAUGCAAGGGACUGUAUUUUUAAAAGCACGUACUCCUUAGUGAAGAAGUUGUCUGCCUCUGUACUUGCUUUACAAAUUUGUGAAUGCAUGGAAGAGCCUGUGUGAGGGCAACAGCUCCUGUGCGUUUGGCUCACGGCAGUAAGAAUAAAGUGCUCACUCAUC